GCCGGCAUAGCUCAGUCGGUAGAGCAACCGCCUUGUAAGCGGUAGGUCCCCCGUUCGAUUCGGGGUGCCGGCA
rnacentral:tRNA from 1 species